CUUUUUCUCUGUGCAUCCUCAGUGACGCGGGGCACAGCUCUGCCCGGGGGCCUACCAGAGCCCACCUGGACCCCACACUGGGUCAGCCCUGGUGCGGAGGAGGCCGCUGCGCGGCCAGGUCACAGUCGGCACCAGAAGUUUGGCAGAUCUCAGUGAGGCGUUAGUUUGCAUUUCCUUGUGACGGGUUUUGACUGGAAUGCCAGGCUUAACGUUGCUCAGAAGUUGCUUCUAUGAGGACGUCUCCCAGCAGCUGUCAGUGUUUCCAAUGAGUCAUCGCCAGCCCCUGCAAUGAGCCUCUCAGGCUGGUAAGUUUUGUUUCAGAACCGCUUCCUCAAGCUUCUUUUGCCUUUAAAAGCUUCCUCUUGCCCCAGCCUCCCAGGGAAUGCCUGUGGUCUGUCAUGGCUCACACAUCCUGGUUGAUAAUCCACUGCUGUUCUCCACGGAAUGCCUUCAUUUUGAGAGCUGCUCGCUGCCUGUUGUGGUUUCAGUUGACGGCCCACCGCUGUGUGCAGAGUUCACCAGCCGCUGUGGUGUGCAGUGCAGCAGCUGACCUGCCUGCCUUGUGGUUUUCUAAUCCCAUUGAGGG
rnacentral:lncRNA from 10 species